CCCAAGGCCGGGCCGGACCAGGAGAGGGCAGGCGGGGGCUCCCCCUCGGCGGUGCAGAGCGCGCGGAAGGCGUGCGAGGGGCCUGGUAGCACCGAGAUGUUGACGAUCCGGGGUGCAGCUGCAGGGGGAAGAAGGAAGGCGCGGGUCACCGGACAGAGGACAGUGCCCUGGGAGCGUGAGAGAGGCGACGGUUUGCCAGCACUUCGUGGUGUGACCACCUUUCAAGACACUGGACAGAGGGAGGCUGUGAGACCAUUGUCUUCUCACAAGUCAAUGUCACAAGGUGUACUACCCCAGGUGUGACAUCUCACUACCUUGUAGCUCAGGAGCUGAGCUAAGGGGCUGUAGCCACCUGGAGCUUCACUAGACUGAGAUGUCAGUGACCGACAGCCGAUCAUUGGAAAAUAUUUGAGAAGUAAAGGAACAGAGCAGCAGAGACGGAAAGAGGAGUGAGAGUCUGACUACUAAACUGCAGGCUGUCCAUCCAUGAAGACUUGCGGUGCGGAGCUGGGACCGGCUUAUGCCAGGGAAGCUUCUGCACAGUGCACAGCUGUGUGGAGGUGAUUCCCCGAUUGCAUUAGAAAAGGCCCUUAACCCUCAGUGAGAGCCUGGAUUUCACCGGCAAUGACAGUGGACUGUUAUGGGAAUCCUCCAGAACUUGGAGUUAUGCAUGAGGAUGGUGGAGAGCUCUGUAGACUGGACUCCCUCAGUGUUGGUCAGUGGACAACGAUGACAACAUCUCCAAGUCAAGAGAUGCUACCGUGCCAGCCCCAGGAAGAUUCAGUCACUUCAAUGGAACUGUCGUUUUGAUUUUUUUUUUUAGUACUAAGAAAAGUAAAAGAAACUUGAGAAGUAACACAUGUAAAUAUAAAAAUAUGACUUAUCUUCUAAAUAAUAAAUUACCAAGGAAAUGAGGGUGCCCCCCCACUCCUCAGCCCCAGGGAUGAAAUGCAGGGACUUGUAUAUGCUAAACAAGUGCUCUACCAUUGGACAGCACACCUAGCCCAGAAUCAUGUUUCGGUGCAGCAAAAACACUGAGGGACUAAUCCUGGGAUGUGUGGCUUUCCCUCAGCCCAGGAGCUGAGCUGGCUUGUGCAUUGCCCAUGAAAGGAGAUAACUAUGUUAAACUGGUGAUGGACACAAGACAUAAAGGGGACUGUUAAACCACUGUCUUUUCGAGAACUCAGGAGCAUUUUGCUUAAAGUUGCAAUAAAUAAUUGUAUCACUAAAGGAGACUUCAGUAGGCUCUUUCCUGGUGGUAGAUGAGUUCUAGCUAUCAUACACAGCUGGUAAUACUCAGAUUGGUCCCUUGUUCAGAGGAGAAGAAUAAAAGACUAUCCGUGAUCCUCCGGCCUCUGACGAAAGAAUAAACAGAGAGUUCUGUGGAAUGAA